rnacentral:lncRNA from 1 species
GGGUUUUGCCCUUGCUUGUAACUCACACCACAAAUAAUACUGUAAGCCUCUGGCUGUGAGGUGCAGAGUGGAAGCUGCCAAGAACAUCAGAGUAAGUGAAGCCCUUUGCUGCCAUUCAGGAUGCUGGAAGUGCAGGGGACAGAUUCAGACAACCUCAAAGAACUCUUUCUGCUAGGACACCUCUAUCAGGACUCAAUUGGUAGUGCUCUUCCAGUUCAGUGUUGGGUACCUGGGUGUCAAGCAGCUUUCUGGGGCCCUGUGACUGCUCUCCUAUACACACUGUUGUUGUUGUUUUUUUUUAAUCCAUCCUUAGCAUGGGGGUGAGCAUCGGUGUCUUUAAUGUGUAGCAAAAGAAUAAAGACUGUGAGCUAAAUAACUCUUUCAAGGUCAAGGUCAUAUACCAGUUACCUGAUUAUAUAGGUAAAGGUCAAGGUCAUAUACCAGUUACCUGAUUAUAUAGACAAAGGUCAAGGUCAUAUACCAGUUACCUGAUUAUAUAGGCAAAGGUCAAGGUCAUAUACCAGUUACCUGAUUAUAUAGGCAGAAAGCUAGGAUAACCUCCACGAACUCCUAGAACUAUGUUCUUACCUGUCUGUCUCUCAGCAACACAAGCCAAAGAAUCACGGUGUUCUUAGGCCCGUCUAUGAAGGACAAUAAUUGUGGAAAGAGACUUCAAGUACUUCCUCCCAAAACAAUGUGGAUGAACCGGCUCUAUCAACUGAAGUCUUGUCCAUACGAGGAUUUCAUUACCAUUCUAAAAGUGUUAUCAGACUUCGUUUCCUCCUUCUUCACCAACCUAUGAUCGAUCAGCCUAAUAAAUGCGCUAAGACUCACGCCCUGCUCUCCUGCCCUCCACUGCUCGCCCCGGGCUCUCCGGCCGCCACCGCCUGCCCCGCCCGCGCUUCGCUACCCCAGCCUCCCGCACCAGACGCCGGCUGCUCCUGCGCUCCCACGCCCGCGCACCUCGCUCUCCCAGCCCCGCGCUCCCACACCCGGCGCGGAGGAGGCGGGCGCCCGGGGCGAGGGCAGGGCGGCCACGUCAGCGGCGCCGGCUCGCUCCGCCCUCCGCGGGCCUCCCCAUAG